rnacentral:rRNA from 1 species
AACUUCUGAAUGUUGACCUCGGAUCAGGUAGGAAUACCCGCUGAACUUAAGCAUAUCAAUAGG